GCAUCCGGGAUAAACCAAUAACCAUCGCCCUCCGAAGGCAAAGGUCGCACGUUCGAAUCGUGCCGGGUGCGCCA
rnacentral:tRNA from 1 species